rnacentral:RNase_P_RNA from 1 species
AAUGCAGGUUGUUCUAUCGCUGUUUCGAUUUAUCGGAAGAGAGGAAAGUCCGGGCAACGCAGGGCAUCCCGCUUUCUAACGGAAAGGGAUUGAGGAUUGAAAACCUGAAUCACGGAUUAGUGCAACAGAAAAUAUACCGUCUCAACUUUACGUUGGGAUAAGGGUGAAAACGUGUGGUAAGAGCGCACGAGCAUUGCAGGCGACUGUAGUGGUUUGUAAACCCCGGGAGUUGAAAGACCAAAUAGGCUAACGCAUGUAGGGCUGCCCGUCCGAUGUUAGUGGGUAGGUCGUUAGAGAUAAACGGCAACGUUUAUACUGGAUUAAUGAUAGAAAUUCUGAGCAAUCAGAAAACAGAACCCGGCUUAUAGACCUGCAUUUUUU